rnacentral:tRNA from 2 species
GCGGAUGUGGCGGAAUUGGCAGACGCGCUAGGUUUAGGUCCUAGUGCCGCAAGGCGUGAAGGUUCAAGUCCUUUCAUCCGCA